AUUGAACGCUGGCGGCAUGCUUUACACAUGCAAGUCGAACGGUAACAGGUUAAGCUGACGAGUGGCGAACGGGUGAGUAAUGCAUCGGAACGUGCCCGAUCGCGGGGGAUAACGCAGCGAAAGCUGCGCUAAUACCGCAUACGAUCUGAGGAUGAAAGCGGGGGACCGUAAGGCCUCGCGCGAUCGGAGCGGCCGAUGUCAGAUUAGGUAGUUGGUGGGGUAAAGGCUCACCAAGCCAACGAUCUGUAGCUGGUCUGAGAGGACGACCAGCCACACUGGGACGGAGACACGGCCCAGACUCCUACGGGAGGCAGCAGUGGGGAAUUUUGGACAAUGGGCGAAAGCCUGAUCCAGCAAUGCCGCGUGCAGGAAGAAGGCCUUCGGGUUGUAAACUGCUUUUGUACGGAGCGAAAAGGUUCUCUCUAAUACAGAGGGUUCAUGACGGUACCGUAAGAAUAAGCACCGGCUAACUACGUGCCAGCCGCCGCAGUAACAC
rnacentral:rRNA from 1 species